rnacentral:rRNA from 1 species
UUUAGGCGGCUACUGACUUGCAUGUCAGUCGGACGGCCGCGCUUCCUUCUGCCUGCCAGUGAGUGACGAAUGAGUGAGUAAUCCAUCCGAGCCCGGCCUGGCGGGAGAACUAAUUAGACGAAAGAUUAAUACCUACCACAAACUACCUGAGGGUGAAAGCGACCGACCGGACUGCCUCGAUCGAUACGACCGAUCUAUGACUGACUAGCUGGUGGGGGGGGUGACUGCCUACGAAAGCAACAAUCACUGGCUGGACAGAAAGAACAAUCACCCUGGCUGUGACUGACACACCGCACUCACUCCUACGGGAGGCAUGGGGAAUUAAUUAUGAUGAAUGCAACCCACCCUCAUCCAUGCCUGCCGUGUGAGUAAAGACUGCCUUCUGUAUGUAAAUUUUUUCUGUCCAGAAAUAAACGUGGCUGGUAAACACCCUCGAUCAAUGACCGGGACGAAAGAAUAACCGCUAACUACCUGCCUGCCACCGCCCGAAUACAUACGUAGGGAGCGAUAAUCAAUCUUACUGGCUGUGAGGAAAGCGCGCGCAGGUUGUUUGAAA